GCCGACUUAGCUCAGUCGGUAGAGCACUUCACUCGUAACGAAGGGUCGUAGGUUCGAUUCCUAUAGUCGGCA
rnacentral:tRNA from 1 species